rnacentral:lncRNA from 1 species
GUCACGGGGGCCCGAGUGCCAGCCGGGCACAGGGUUGCCGGGGGCCCCCCGGGCGUGGGCUGCAGGGUGUCCAGGGCCCCACGCACCCUCCGUGCCCUCCGCAGUGGGCGUGCGCCCGCGGGCCUGGAGCUGCAGAGUCGACAGGGACCGGGGCAGGCGCCUGCGGGAGGGGCAGCAGCCGCGCAGUGCCCAGGUGAGUGUGUGGGAGCGUGUGUACAUGGAUGUCGGUGUGUGUGUCUGUGUGUGCAUGGAUGUCGGUGUGUGUGUCCGUGUGUGCAUGCGUGUGCCUGCGCUCCAGGCCCGCGGGGAGGAGGCACGUCCCACCUCCGCGGUCAGCUGCGUGUGACCCGGACGCUCUGGCCCCGUGGCCACACAACCCUCCCGGUGGAGAACGCGCACCAGCCCCAGCCCAGCCUUUCCCAGACCUCGGGGGAAGCGGGGACAGCGGGGACAGGAAGGGGGCGGGGGUCUCAGCAGCACAGGCACAGCUCCGUCCACCGCCUGGGCGUCCUCGGGGAUCAGGCUCACCUGGGCGCCUCCGGGCGUUCACAGAGACCGAACACGGGCCUGGUGGGGGCGCUGACCCCUCCCCAGCAUGGGCCUUGUUCUUACCCCACCCCGAGGGAGAGGCUGGCUCGGGAACCCGGCCACAGGAGGGGAAGCUGGAGCGGAAGCCCGGCCUGCCGGCCUCCGUGGCCCUGCUCGGCCCCAGGCCGAGCUCGGAGCAGGCACAGGUAGGCGGCUGGCCGUCCGCUGGCCACACCCCCAUGAGCGCCGGGCCCCAGCUGGUUGCCGAGGACCCAGAAGCCCAGAUGUGGCCACAGCCCCCCGGGGGCUCCCGUCCUGGGGGUGGACAGAAGAGGCCGUCACAGCCGUGUGGCCAAUCGAUUUCGGGCCUCUUGGCCAGGCUCCCCGAGGGGCCGAGCCCCAGAUGGCCACCUGGGCCCCGCCAGGGCAGGCUGUGUCCGCCCAGCAGGCCGCCUCUGCGCCUCCCGCCGUGGCUCCCAGGGCCCCUCCGCUGGGCCAGGAUCCCAGGCCACUGCCGGCUCCUGGGUUCCACGGGCCUGUGGCAUUUCUGCAGAACCCGGCCUCCCUAAUUUAUGUGCUGCCCGGGCAGGCGGUGUUUUCUCUAAAAACAGGAUGGAUGUGAGAAAAGCAACAAUGCC